rnacentral:tRNA from 1 species
UCUCUGUUAGUAUAUCGGUUAGUACACGCGCCUGUCAUUUGUACUGAGCGCGCGAAAGCGGGGUUCGACUCCCCGACAGAGAG